ACGGCUCAGUAACACGUGGAUAACCUGCCCUUAGGACCGGCAUAACCCUGGGAAACUGGGGAUAAUUCCGGAUAACCCAUGAAUGCUGGAAUGCUUCGUGGGUAAAAUGGUUUCGACCGCCAAAGGAUGGAUCUGCGGCCUAUCAGGUAGUAGUGGGUGUAGUGUACCUACUAGCCUACGACGGGUACGGGUUGUGAGAGCAAGAGCCCGGAGAUGGAUUCUGAGACAUGAAUCCAGGCCCUACGGGGCGCAGCAGGCGCGAAGACUUUACAAUGCGGGAAACCGCGAUAAGGGGACACUGAGUGCCAGCAUCUUAUGUUGGCUGUCCGCAUGUUUAAAAAGCAUGUGUUAGCAAGGGCUGGGCAAGACCGGUGCCAGCCGCCGCGGUAACACCGGCAGCCCGAGUGGUGAUCACUAUUAUUGGGUCUAAAGGGUCCGUAGCCGGUUUGAUCAGUCUUUUGGGAAAUCUGACAGCUUAACUGUUAGGCUUCCAAAGGAUACUGUCAGACUUGGGACCGGGAGAGGUAAGAGGUACUACAGGGGUAGGAGUGAAAUCUUGUAAUCCCUGUGGGACCACCAGUGGCGAAGGCGUCUUACCAGAACGGGUCCGACGGUGAGGGACGAAAGCUGGGGGCACGAACCGGAUUAGAUACCCCGGUAGUCCCAGCCGUAAACGAUGCUCGCUAGGUGUCAGGAAUGGUGCGACCGUUUCUGGUGCCGUAGGGAAGCCGUGAAGCGAGCCACCUGGGAAGUACGGCCGCAAGGCUGAAACUUAAAGGAAUUGGCGGGGGAGCAC
rnacentral:rRNA from 1 species